GACGAACGCUGGCGGCGUGCUUAACACAUGCAAGUCGAACGCUGAAGCUCAGCUUGCUGGGUGGAUGAGUGGCGAACGGGUGAGUAACACGUGAGUAACCUGCCCUCUUCUUUGGGAUAACGCCCGGAAACGGGUGCUAAUACUGGAUAUUCACUGAUUCUCGCAUGGGGGUUGGUGGAAAGGUUUUUUCUGGUGGGGGAUGGGCUCGCGGCCUAUCAGCUUGUUGGUGGGGUGAUGGCCUACCAAGGCUUUGACGGGUAGCCGGCCUGAGAGGGUGACCGGUGAAAUUGGGACUGAGAUACGGCCCAGACUCCUACGGGAGGCAGCAGUGGGGAAUAUUGCACAAUGGGCGAAAGCCUGAUGCAGCGACGCCGCGUGAGGGAUGGAGGCCUUCGGGUUGUAAACCUCUUUCGCUCAUGGUCAAGCCGCAGCUUGGGGUUGUGGUGAGGGUAGUGGGUAAAGAAGCGCCGGCUAACUACGUG
rnacentral:rRNA from 1 species